rnacentral:lncRNA from 1 species
AGAUUUUCAAGUAUUGUCUCUUUCCUCUGCAAUAUAUGCGUCUUCAAUAGAGCCGCGCGAACUUCCUCGACCUCGUCUUCAUCGGCGAUCUCUUCUCCGUCAGCCACCUCGCUAUAUCGAAGCCAAGCAACAUCUUCUCCCCAGCCUCGAGCCUCAUCCCUGAUUAAACCCUCUUCAUCCGCAUCAAAGGUGACACCCUCUAUUGGGACGUCCAUUCUAUUUCUAUUGCUUCUAAUUUCUUUUCAUCUGUGAUGGCAUCUGAUAACUAUUCAUCAGGGGAAUGAAAUUAUAUGCGUGGGUUAAUGAUUGAGUUUCCUUGAAUCGAAAGUAUUGAUUUUCUAGACUUAAUCGUUGGCUACCUGCUGUGUCUGGCCAAGAUAAAAGGUUACAACCCAAGGAGAGUAGACUGGAAGUGUUAAGAGAUGGUGAAAUUAUGUUGCUGAAUAUCACAACACACCCGUCAAUAGUUGAAAGCAUAUUUCAAUAAUGAAGAUGAAUGGGAUGGGUGAUACAUACUCUGGAGAACGGCAAAAUUCGUUCAAUACAACAUUACCCCUUUCAACACCCCAAUUCUCAUCCCACCCAGCAAUGGGCUUUAUUUCUAGUCUACGUCCUCAUAUUCCUUGUGAGCUCGUUAGUGGGCAAGACAAAGAGAGGAGAUUGAUGGAGCAAAAUAUGUGUGUCAUCUGCAAGUUUUUACUUGUGUUUCUAAUUUUAUGAUUUUCACCUGCAAGUUUCAUCUAUGUCAUGUUGACAC